rnacentral:rRNA from 1 species
CCAUAUGGCCAUACCACCCUGAACCUGCCCGAUCUUAUCUGAUCUCGGAAGCUAAGCAGGGUCGGGCCUGGUUAGAACUUGGUUGGGAGACCACCUAGGAAUACCAGGUGUUGUAGGCG